CCUACGGGGGGCAGCAGUGGGGAAUAUUGGGCAAUGGGCGCAAGCCUGACCCAGCAACGCCGCGUGAAGGAAGAAGGCCUUCGGGUUGUAAACUUCUUUUGUCAGGGACGAACCCAAUGACGGUACCUGACGAAUAAGCCACGGCUAACUACGUGCCAGCAGCCGCGGUAAUACGUAGGUGGCAAGCGUUAUCCGGAGUUACUGGGCGUAAAGGGCGCGUAGGCGGGAGAGCAAGUCAGAUGUGAAAUUCCAGGGCUCAACCCUGGAACUGCAUUGGAAACUGUUUUUCUUGAGUGAUGGAGAGGCAAGCGGAAUGCCGUGUGUAGCGGUGAAAUGCGUAGAUAUACGGAGGAACACCAGGGGCGAAGGCGGCCUGCUGGACAUUAACUGACGCUGAGGCGCGAAAGCGUGGGGAGCAAACAGGAUUAGAUACCCCAGUAGUC
rnacentral:rRNA from 1 species